rnacentral:rRNA from 1 species
AACGAACGCUGGCGGCAGGCUUAACACAUGCAAGUCGAACGCCCCGCAAGGGGAGUGGCAGACGGGUGAGUAACGCGUGGGAAUCUACCCAGUCCUACGGAAUAACCCAGGGAAACUUGGACUAAUACCGUAUACGCCCUACGGGGGAAAGAUUUAUCGGAAUUGGAUGAGCCCGCGUUGGAUUAGCUAGUUGGUGGGGUAAUGGCCUACCAAGGCGACGAUCCAUAGCUGGUCUGAGAGGAUGAUCAGCCACACUGGGACUGAGACACGGCCCAGACUCCUACGGGAGGCAGCAGUGGGGAAUAUUGGACAAUGGGCGCAAGCCUGAUCCAGCCAUGCCGCGUGAGUGAUGAAGGUCUUAGGGUUGUAAAGCUCUUUCAGUGGGGACGAUAAUGACGGUACCCACAGAAGAAGCCCCGGCUAACUUCGUGCCAGCCGCCGCCGUAAAAC